CUGACUCUAGUAAUCAUGUAUUGUCUCUCCUAUGACUGGUUAGCACGCAACAAAAGCUUUUCACUGUACCUCGGUACACGUGACAAUAAACUAAACUA